AGUGAACGCUGGCGGUAGGCCUAACACAUGCAAGUCGAACGGCAGCACAGUAAGAGCUUGCUCUUACGGGUGGCGAGUGGCGGACGGGUGAGGAAUACAUCGGAAUCUAUUUUUUCGUGGGGGAUAACGUAGGGAAACUUACGCUAAUACCGCAUACGACCUACUGGUGAAAGCAGGGGAUCUUCGGACCUUGCGCGAUUGAAUGAGCCGAUGUCGGAUUAGCUAGUUGGCGGGGUAAAGGCCCACCAAGGCGACGAUCCGUAGCUGGUCUGAGAGGAUGAUCAGCCACACUGGAACUGCGACACGGUCCAGACUCCUACGGGAGGCAGCAGUGGGGAAUAUUGGACAAUGGGCGCAAGCCUGAUCCAGCAAUACCGCGUGGGUGAAGAAGGCCUUCGGGUUGUAAAGCCCUUUUGUUGGGAAAGAAAAGCAGCAGGUUAAUACCCCGCUGUUCUGACGGUACCCAAAGAAUAAGCACCGGCUAACUUCGUG
rnacentral:rRNA from 1 species